AGGAUAAUAGUUAAAAUUAACAUUUAAUUUGCACUUAAAUAAGAAGCAAAAUAUGCGUUUAGUUUC
rnacentral:tRNA from 1 species